ACCGGCACCCAACUGUGCUUCUCUCCUGCCCGAGCUGGGGGAGCCUCGGGAACCCCCAAACAGCAAACCAGCCCAACGUGGACGCUCUCCGCUGGGAUUUCGUUUUGGGGGAGCCGGAACACCUGUCCGCUGAUCGCCUGCCACUCCGCAUCUGGGCCCGGCUGACAGGCUUGUCUGCUUUGACUAAUGAUGUGAUUGAUGGACAAAAUAAGGAAGAACAUACAAAAAAACAUUUCUGUCUGGUCUGGUGUGUCAGCAAGCCUUCAUCAAGUGGCUGCUGAAGGCUAAACAUGUGGAAAAUGCCACAGAGCUGAUGCCAGGAUCAUCUCACUCAGCAAACCGAGUAUUCAUAACCUCGCUCCGAUGGCCUGCUGUGGAUGGGGUGACAUUCAUGAGAAUUACACAUGCCACGCUGUCGCCUCUUUGUGCAUAUAAUAAUGAUCUGAAAAUCAGUUCUGGCUGGAACACGAGGGAGGCAAAGAACUGCUUCACUCGGAUAACAAGACACGUGUGAGUUAGAGAUCAUGCUUAAAAACAAGAGAGAAAGUGGGGAAGUUCUUGGCCUGAUUUUUUCCCCUUCUCUUUCUUUAUUGGGCCACAGAAUUCCUACUUUAUUUCUUGUAAAGUAUUUGAAUUCUCCUUGAUAUUUAUUUUUCUUGCUUCUUUCCUUCCUUCCUUCCUUCCUUCCUUCCUUCCUUCCAUUUUUUCUCUUUCUCUCUCUCUCUUCCUUCCUUCUUUCCUUCCUUCCAUUUUUCUCCCUUUCUUCCUUCCUUCCUUCCUCCCUCCCUCCCUUCCUUUCUUCCUUUCUUCCAACAAAUUUUCUUUGCCAAGGUAUUUUAUUACACACGUUCCACUCCUUUCUUUAACACGUUGGACUGUCUCCAAAGAGAAAUGCUUCAAAUGAAGUUUCAUUUUAAAAACACUUUUUUAUUUUUUCUUGCUACCAUGAUGAGCCUUCAGUGGUGGGUUAUUGUGAAUAAUAUGUGAUUUUAACGAGUUGAGAUUAGACAAAACUCUCUUCCUAUAAUAAAUACU